UACGGGGGGGGCAAGCGUUGUUCGGAAUUACUGGGCGUAAAGGGCUCGUAGGUGGCCAACUAAGUCAGACGUGAAAUCCCUCGGCUUAACCGGGGAACUGCAUCUGAUACUGGAUGGCUUGAGAUUGGGAGAGGGAUGCGGAAUUCCAGGUGUAGCGGUGAAAUGCGUAGAUAUCGAGAGGAACACCUGCGGCGAAGGCGGGUUGCUGGGCCGACACUGACGCUGAUGCGCGAAAGCCAGGGGAGCGAACGGG
rnacentral:rRNA from 1 species